CUACGGGACGCAGCAGUGGGGAAUCUUGCACAAUGGGCGAAAGCCUGAUGCAGCAACGCCGCGUGAGUGAAGAAGGUCUUUGGAUUGUAAAGCUCUUUCGGCUAGGAAGAAGGCCGGACGGAAUAAUACAUCGUCUGGUUGACGGUACUAGAAGAAGAAGCACUGGGUAAUUCCGUGCCAGCAGCCGCGGUAAUACGGAAGGUGCAAGCGUUGUUCGGAAUGACUGGGCGUAAAGAGCACGUAGGCGGGUGAAUAAGUCGGUUGUGAAAGCCCUGGGCUUAACCUAGGAAUUGCGACCGAAACUAUUUAUCUUGAAUACCUGAGGGGUUAGUGGAAUUCCUGGUGUAGGAGUGAAAUCCGUAGAUAUCAGGAGGAACACCGGAGGCGAAGGCGGCUAACUGGCAGAGUAUUGACGCUGAGGUGCGAAAGCGUGGGUAGCAAACAGGAUUAGAUACCCGGGUAGUC
rnacentral:rRNA from 1 species